AUAAAAUGAUAGUAGACGGGCCA
rnacentral:siRNA from 1 species